AUGGACGGUCGCUGCCACUUUGUUGGCGCCUCCGAGACCCUCUUGAUGCUGCCGCCCCAACAGGCUGACUGCAGGCCCAGGGACCCAGCGUGCAGCACAGCCCGGCGGGCGGGGUGGGUGAGCUGGGCUCUGGCGCCGCUGCCAGAAGCUUCUAGCCGGAGGGUGCCGUCGCAGGAGGCCAGGUGGACGGAGGGCCCUCGGCGGGGGAGGCCGGGGAACCUGCCAGGAGGACACCCCGGAGGGGGCAGCGUCCCGGCCCCCGAGCGCGAGUCCGGUCCCCCAGGGACGCGGCAGGGGCCAGCGGGAGAGGCGGGUGUCCCGGGGGCCUUGGCGGGCAGCACGCGGGGCGGAGGAGGGAGCGGAAGGCGCGUCACGGGCCUCUGCGGGGGCGCGGCCACUGCGUCCUGUCCCGCUCUGCCCGGAGCUCAGGGGCCCAGCCUGGCCACCACGGAGCCUGCCCUGGGACCCCGCCCUCCUGGGGACGUCCCCGCCCCUCGCGGGUCCCCACACGGCGUCCCUGGGCCGGUCCCGCAGCGCCACCUGCUGGCCGCGCCGCCUCCGGGCCCAGGCUGCCCCCGACGCUGCCCAGGCCGGAGCGGAGGCUGCAGGGCCUGGGCGGGGGUUCCACUGAGUCACCCCAACCCCAGCAGAGCCAAGGCCCCUGGAGGGGCUCCCACGGUAUGGCAGUCAGCGCCCGGGCCCCCCACCUGUGCACGUGGGCCGCCCACCCCGUGGUCUCGCGGGCCCCGCCCAUGCCCGGAGCCCCACACCUGGGUGGCAAGUUGCUGCUGGGGUCAGGUCCGCCCUCCUGCCCACGUGGCCCCCCGGUCCAGCCGCUACUCACACAGCAGGCCGUGCCUGGGCCGGGGACACGCACCUGUUUGCAGGGGAGGUGGCUCCAGACCGAGGGGCAGGGGCAGGGGCAGGGAGCUGACAACCAGGGGGCCAGGGAGGAUGGAGCGGGAGGAGGGCAGGAGCCAGCCCCCCCACAUACCCCUCCCCCCCGCAGGAUGGUGCAGAGGCCCUGAGGACAGACCACCUUGGUGGGUUCUGGGGGCCGGGUCAGCCUGCUGCUCUGCCGCCCUGGGGGGCCCUGAGUGGGGGUUCCAGAGCAGGACGUGGUGGGGGUAA
rnacentral:lncRNA from 12 species